rnacentral:rRNA from 1 species
GACGAACCGUCCUAACGUUGUUCGGAAUCACUGGGCUUAAAGGGCGCGUAGGCGGCCCUGUCAGUCGGGGGUGAAAUCCCACGGCCCAACCGUGGAAGUGCCUCCGAUACUGCAGGGCUCGAGGGGGGUAGGGGCAGCGGGAACUUCCGGUGGAGCGGUGAAAUGCGUUGAUAUCGGAAGGAACGCCGGCGGCGAAAGCGCGCUGCUGGACCCUCUCUGACGCUGGAGGCGCGAAAGCUAGGGUAGCGAACGGG